rnacentral:rRNA from 1 species
UACGAAGGGUGCAAACGUUGCUCGGAAUUAUUGGGCGUAAAGCGCACGUAGGCGGCUUUGCAAGUCGGAUGUGAAAUCCCUCGGCUUAACCAAGGAAGUGCAUCCGAAACUGCAGAGCUUGAGUACUUAAGAGGAUCGCGGAAUUCCCGGUGUAGAGGUGAAAUUCGUAGAUAUCGGGAGGAACACCGAUGGCGAAGGCAGAUCUCUGGGCCGUAACUGACGCUGAGGAGCGAAAGCGUGGGGAGCGAACAGG